rnacentral:sRNA from 1 species
GCUAGGUGCGGUGGCCCACACCUGUAAUCCCAGCGGCUCAGGAGGCUGAGACAGGAGGAUUGAGAGUUCAGAGCCAGCCUCAGCAACAGUGAGGUGCUAAGCAACUCAAUGAGACCCUGUCUCUA